CCUAUAUUUUCGAACGUGGCCUAGACUCUAGCUUUCCUUCUAGAAAUCAAAGUGAGACGGUCUGACUUGACUGACUGGUCAUGUUUCCCUAGCUUCAUAUUCCAGAAUGCCACCCAGGAGGUUGGGCAAGGCAGGAAACCUGGCGGGCUGGUUGGCAGAUGGCUGGUGAGGGUCUUGGUGGCUUAAGGCAGGAGGCAGUGGCUGUUCCCACUGUCUCCCACGGACCACAGGGGCUUCCUGCCCGCCAACGGAGCUUUUACAGGUAAUCCCCAAAGGAAGAUGACUCUACAAGGGAACCUGAUGGAAUCAUGAUGGGACACGUGUUUAGAUCUAUAUCCUUCAGACCUCAGGCAGUGUCCCUGCUAUAUUUGAAUGAUCAGCCUUCCAAGAACAAAGAACCAGCCCUGAACAUCCAAGAAAUAAUCGUGAAGCAGGAAAACCUUCUCCAGAGGGAUUUACCUCUUUUGCCAUGUCUCAAGGGCCAGAAUAAUUACAACAUGGCUACUAAGGUGUACAGAAAGGUUUUUUUUUUUUUUUUAAUGUGCUAGGCAAUGUUUUAAACUUAAUCUUUUAUCUAGGCAGCUUUUCUGGUGAUAGAACUCUAAUGGACAAUCCCUCUGAGAUUUGAACAUGGGCAAUCUGAUGCCAAUGCCCAUGUUGUUGAUUAUGAAACCAUCCCAUUUGUGGCCAUUUGUGGUUGUCUUUGAGUGAACCAUGUGGCAUCCCUAUAUUUUGGAAAAUGGAGACAGUGGGUCUUAUAGGCAAACAGAAGAUUAAAAAGACUACAGAGACAAUGUGGUCAGACUGACCCAGUCUGGUAUCUUGGAUCCACCCCUUGGCAGCUUCCUCCUAUGUAGAAACAAAUGCCCAAUCCUUAGUUGCAGGACUGUGGUGGAGGCUGCAUGAGAUAAUACACUGAGAGACUAUGACAUCCCACAUGUCAUAGACUGUUUAUAAAUGUCAUUAUGCAUGUUUAUAUUGUAAUUUACAUAAGGUGAAUUAUGUAAAUAGGCAUAACCCUCCUCAGUAGGAAUGGCUCUGGUUAACAGCA